AACGAACGCUGGCGGCAGGCCUAACACAUGCCAGUCGAGCGCGCCCUUCGGGGUGAGCGGCGGACGGGUGAGUAACGCGUGGGAACGUGCCCUUUUCUACGGAAUAGCCUCGGGAAACUGAGAUUAAUACCGCAUACGCCCUUUGGGGGAAAGAUUUUUCGGAAAAGGAUCGGCCCGCGUUGGAUUAGGUAGUUGGUGGGGUAAUGGCCUACCAAGCCGACGAUCCAUAGCUGGUUUGAGAGGAUGCUCAGCCAGACUGGGACUGCGACACGGCCCAGACCCCUACGGGAGGCAGGAGUGGAGAAUCUUAGGGAAUGGGGGCAACCCUGAUCUAGCCAUGCCGCGUGAGUGAUGAAGGCCUUAGGGAUGUAAAGCUCUUUGAGCUGAGAAGAUAAUGACGGUACCGGCAGAAGAAGCCCCGGCUAACUCCGUG
rnacentral:rRNA from 1 species